rnacentral:rRNA from 1 species
CGGACGGGUGAGUAACGCGUGGGUAACCUGCCUCAUACAGGGGGAUAACAGUUAGAAAUGACUGCUAAUACCGCAUAAGACCACGGAGCCGCAUGGCUCAGUGGGAAAAACUCCGGUGGUAUGAGAUGGACCCGCGUCUGAUUAGGUAGUUGGUGGGGCAACGGCCUACCAAGCCAACGAUCAGUAGCCGACCUGAGAGGGUGACCGGCCACAUUGGGACUGAGACACGGCCCAG